rnacentral:lncRNA from 1 species
GGAAAAGCGGUCCUCGGCCUCCGGGAGUAGCGGGACCCCCGCCCUCCGGGAAAACGGUCAGCGUCCGGCGCGGGCUGAGGGCUGGGCCCACAGCCGCCGCGCCGGCCGGCGGGGCACCACCCAUUCGCCCCGGUUCCGGGGCCCAGGGAGUGGGCGGUUUCCUCCGGGACAAAAGACCGGGACUCGAGACUCCGUUCAAUAAAUGGUGCUGGGAUAACUGGCUAGCCACAUGCUGAAGAUUGAACUGGGCCCCUUUCUUACACCAUACACAAAAAUGAACUCAGGAUGGAUUAAAGACUUAAGUGUAAAACCCAAAAAUAUAAAAACCCUGGAAGACAACCUAGGCAAUACCAUCCUGGACAUAAGGACAGGCAAAGAUUUCAUGACAAAGACAACAAAAGCAAUAGCAAUGAAAGCAAAAAUUGACGUGGGAUCUAGUUAAACUAAAGAGCUUCUACACAGCAAAAGAAACUAUCAACAAAGUAAACAGGCAACUUGCAGAUUGGGAGAAAGUAUUUACAAACUAUGCAUCUGACAAAGGUCUAAUAUCCAGCAUCUAUAAGGAACUUAAACAAAUUUACAAGAGAAAAACAACCCCAUUAAAAAGUGGGCCAAGGACAUAAAGAGACACUUCUCCAAAGGAGACAAACAUGUGUGCCGGGCGUGGUGGCUCACGCCUGUAAUUCCUGCAUUUUGGGAGGCCAAGGAGGGUGGAUCACAACGUCAGGAGAUUGAGACCAUCCUGACUAACAUGGUGAAACCCCGUCUCUACUAAAAAUACAAAAAAUUAGCCGGGUGUGGUGGCAGGCACCUGUAGUCCCAGCUACUUGGGAGGCUGAGGCAGGAGAAUGGCGUGAACCAAGGAGGCAGAGCUUGCAGUUAGCUGAGAUCGCACCACUGCACUCUGGCCUGGGUGACAGAGCGAGACUCGGGCUAAGAAAAAAAAAAAAAAAAAAGGCAAACGUGGCAAACAAACAUAUGGAAAAAAGCUCUAGAUCACUGAUCACUAGAGAAAUGCUCAUCAAAACCACAGUGAGGCACCAUCUCACACCAGUCAGAAUGGCUAUUACUAAAAACUAAAAAACUAACAGAAGUUGGCAAGAUUGCAGGGAAAAGUGAACAUGUAUACACCAUUGGUGGGAGUGUAAGUUAAUUCAACUGUGGUGGAAAGCAGUAUGGUGAUUCCUCAAAGAGCUAAAAGCAGAACUACAACAUUUGACCUAGCAAUCCCAUUACUGGUUAUAUACCCAGAUGAAUAUAAAUCAUUCUACCAUGAAGUUACAUGCAUGCAAAUGUUCAUUGCAGCACUAUUCACAAUAGCAAAGACAUAGAAUCAACCCAAAUACUCAUCAGUCACGGAUUGGAUAAAGAAAAUGUGCUACAUAUACACCAUGGAAUAAUAUGCAGCCAUAAAAAAGAAUGAGAUUAUGUCUUUUGCAUUAGUAUGGAUGAAGCUGAAGGGUAUUAUCCUUAGCAAACUAACGCAGGAACAGAAAACCAAAUACAGCAUGUUCUAACUUAUAAGUGGGAGCUAAAUGAUAAGAACUUGUGAACACAAAGAAGGAAACAAAAGACACUGGGGUCUACUUGAUGGGGGGAGGGUGGGAGGAGGGAGAGGAGCAGAAAAGAUAACUAUUGGAUACUGGGCCUAAUACCUGGAUGAUGAAAUAACAGGUACAACAAACCCCUGUGACACGUAUUUAACUGUAUAACAAACCCUCCCGUGUACCCCCUAACCUAAAAUAAAAGUUAAAAAAAAAGAAACACAGCUUUUUAUUUUUUUUCUUUUUAAUCCCAUAAAGGUCAUGGGCCAUUUGCCACCUGAACAGUCAGUAACACAUGAGUGGAAAGAAACUGAACACCCAGGGACACCAGAGACCGUUCACUGUAGAGGAAGGAGGCAGAUUUGUGAACAUGUAAAACAAAG